rnacentral:rRNA from 1 species
CAGCCGCCGCGGUAAAACGUAGGUGGCAAGCGUUGUCCGGAAUUAUUAGGCGUAAAGGGCUCGCAGGCGGUUUCUUAAGUCUGAUGUGAAAGCCCCCGGCUCAACCGGGGAGGGUCAUUGGAAACUGGGAAACUUGAGUGCAGAAGAGGAGAGUGGAAUUCCACGUGUAGCGGUGAAAUGCGUAGAGAUUAGGAGGAACACCAGUGGCGAAGGCGGCUUUUUGGCCUGUAACUGACACUGAGGCGCGAAAGCGUGGGGAGCAAACAGGAUUAGAUACCCCCGUAGUCCCUGUCUCUUAUAC